GUAAAUAAUUAAGGGCGUAUGGUGGAUGCCUAGGCUCUCAGAGGCGAAGAAGGACGUGAUAAGCUGCGAAAAGCUCCGUUUAGGUGCAAAUAACCUUUGAUGCGGAGAUCUCCGAAUGGGAUAACCCAAUAUGUUGAAGACAUAUUAUACCGUAAGGUAGGCAAACGCAGGGAACUGAAACAUCUAAGUACCUGCAGGAGAAGAAAACAAACGUGAUUCCCCCAGUAGCGGCGAGCGACCGGGGAUAAGCCCAAACCGUUAUUGUUUCGGCAGUAGCGGGGUAGUAGGACUGCGACAUUGAUGAAAUAAAUGAAAUGGAACACCUUGGAAAAUGUGAUCACAGAGGGUGAUAAUCCCGUACAUGCAAGUUUAUGAAUCAUAGCAGUAUCCUGAGUAAGUCGGGACACGUGUAAUCCUGACCGAAUCCGCCGGGACCAUCCGGCAAGGCUAAAUACUCCUGAGAGACCGAUAGUGAACCAGUACCGUGAGGGAAAGGUGAAAAGCACUUCGAACAGAAGAGUGAAAUAGUCCCUGAACCCAUACGCCUACAAGCAGUCGGAGCCGCUUCGUGCGGUGACGGCGUGCCUUUUGCAUAAUGAGCCUACGAGUUACUCAUCACCAGCGAGGUUAAGUACUUCAGGUACGUAAGCCGAAGCGAAAGCGAGUCUGAAUAGGGCGUCAAGUUGGUGGUGGUAGACGCGAAACCUUAGUGAUCUACCCAUGGGCAGGGUGAAGGUUUGGUAACACAAACUGGAGGCCCGAACCGGUAAACGUUGAAAAGUUUUCGGAUGACCUGUGGGUAGGGGUGAAAGGCCAAUCAAACUGGGAAAUAGCUCGUACUCUCCGAAAUGCAUUUAGGUGCAGCCUCUGUUGUUUUGUUCUAGAGGUAGAGCUACUGAUUGGAUGCGAGGGCUUCACCGCCUAUCAAAUCCGGCCAAACUCCGAAUGCUAGAACAUGAAGACAGGGAGUGAGCCAGCGGGUGCUAAGGUCCGUUGACGAAAGAGGGAGAACUCAGACCAUCAGCUAAGGUCCCCAAUUGUAUGCUAAGUUGGAAUUAAAACGGGGUGGGACUGCUUAGACAGCUAGGAUGUUGGCUUGGAAGCAGCCAUUCAUUUAAAGAGUGCGUAACAGCUCACUAGUCGAGCGGUCCUGCAUGGAUAAUACGCGGGCAUAAGCAUAUAACCGAAGCUAUGGGAUUGUAGAUGAUACAAUCGGUAGGAGAGCAUUCCAUUCAGCGUAGAAGCAGUACCGUGAGGUAUUGUGGAGCGGAUGGAAAAGCAAAUGUAGGCAUAAGUAACGAUAAUGCGGGUGAGAACCCCGCACGCCGAAAGAUCAAGGAUUCCCCGGCAAUGUCAAUCAUCCGGGGGUAAGUCGGAUCCUAAGGGUAAGCCGAGUGGCGAUCCCGAUGGCAAACAGGUUAAUAUUCCUGUACUGAUCAUAACUGCGAUGCAGCGACGCAGAGGUGACACUGCUGCGUACUGACGGAAUAGUACGUUGAAACCCGUAUUCUUUGAUACCGGUAGUGAAGCACGCCGGUAGAGAUGAAAGGUGAUAGUACCGCAAUGCUUCGGUUGCGCGGAUAAUGCAGGUAAGCUGACUGCCAAGAAAACCUGCUAAGCUUCAGGUAAUGAUCAUCCGUACUGUAAACGGACACACGUGAUCAGGUAGAAAAUACUAAGGCGCUCGAGAGAUUCAUGGUUAAGGAACUAGGCAAAAUGGUCCUGUAACUUCGGGAUAAAGGACGCUCUUGUGAAAGAGCCGCAGAUAAUAGGCCCAGGCGACUGUUUACCAAAAACACAUGGCUAUGCUAAUUCGCAAGAAGAUGUAUAUGGCCUGACACCUGCCCGGUGCCGGAAGGUUAAGAGGAGAGCUCAGAGGUAACUCGAAGGUUUGAAUUGAAGCCCCGGUAAACGGCGGCCGUAACUAUAACGGUCCUAAGGUAGCGAAAUUCCUUGUCGGGUAAGUUC
rnacentral:rRNA from 1 species